CGGGAUCCAUCAAGCUUGCUUGGUGCGUGAGAGUGGCGAACGGGUGAGUAAUGCGUGACCGACCUGCCCCAUACACCGGAAUAGCUCCUGGAAACGGGUGGUAAUGCCGGAUGCUCCAGUUGAUCGCAUGGUCUUCUGGGAAAGCUUUCGCGGUAUGGGAUGGGGUCGCGUCCUAUCAGCUUGACGGCGGGGUAACGGCCCACCGUGGCUUCGACGGGUAGCCGGCCUGAGAGGGCGACCGGCCACAUUGGGACUGAGAUACGGCCCAGACUCCUACGGGAGGCAGCAGUGGGGAAUAUUGCACAAUGGGCGCAAGCCUGAUGCAGCGACGCCGCGUGAGGGAUGGAGGCCUUCGGGUUGUAAACCUCUUUUAUCGGGGAGCAAGCGAGAGUGAGUUUACCCGUUGAAUAAGCACCGGCUAACUACGUGCCAGCAGCCGCGGUAAUACGUAGGGUGCAAGCGUUAUCCGGAAUUAUUGGGCGUAAAGGGCUCGUAGGCGGUUCGUCGCGUCCGGUGUGAAAGUCCAUCGCUUAACGGUGGAUCCGCGCCGGGUACGGGCGGGCUUGAGUGCGGUAGGGGAGACUGGAAUUCCCGGUGUAACGGUGGAAUGUGUAGAUAUCGGGAAGAACACCAAUGGCGAAGGCAGGUCUCUGGGCCGUUACUGACGCUGAGGAGCGAAAGCGUGGGGAGCGAACAGGAUUAGAUACCCUGGUAGUCCACGCCGUAAACGGUGGAUGCUGGAUGUGGGGCCCGUUCCACGGGUUCCGUGUCGGAGCUAACGCGUUAAGCAUCCCGCCUGGGGAGUACGGCCGCAAGGCUAAAACUCAAAGAAAUUGACGGGGGCCCCGCACAGCGGCGGAAGCAUGCGAUUAAUUCGAUGNCACGCGAAGAACCUUACCUGGGCUUGACAUGUUCCCGACGGUCGUAGAGAUACGGCUUCCCUUCGGGGCGGGUCACAGGUGGUGCAUGGUCGUCGUCAGCUCGUGUCGUGAGAUGUUGGGGUAAAGUCCCGCACGAGCGCAACCCUCGCCCCGUGUUGCAGGCGAUAUGCCGGAACUCACGGGGACGCCGGGGUNACUCCGAGNNAAGGGGGG
rnacentral:rRNA from 1 species